rnacentral:rRNA from 1 species
UACGUAGGGGGCAAGCGUUGUCCGGAUUUAUUGGGCGUAAAGAGCUCGUAGGUGGUUCGGUAAGUCGGAUGUGAAAUCUCCAGGCUCAACCUGGAGGGGUCAUUCGAUACUGCCGUGACUAGAGGUCGGUAGGGGAGUGUGGAAUUCCUGGUGGAGCGGUGAAAUGCGCAGAUAUCAGGAGGAACACCAAUUGCGAAGGCAGCUCGCUGGGACGUUACUGACGCUGAGACGCGAAAGCGUGGGGAGCAAACAGG